AAUCGGAAGUCGAAAGGGUUGGGUCGGUGUAUUCGCGCUUAAAAUAACCUUCUUCACUCAUCCCUCUGGCUUCUCUCAAAACAACAUACAUACAUGUUUCUUUGAAGAAUAGGGUUUUAUUUGGAGGUUCUUUUUCUUCUAUCGACACCACCGUUUCCUCUUUCUUUCAUUCCCCGACGUUCAACAAUCCUCUGCGUUUCCCUCUUCCUCUGUUAGGUAUUUUAAAUUAGGCUAACAUCUUCAGGCCUCCCUUCAUCACUGGGGCUAUUGGGUUGUACCUUUAUUAUUUGUAGUUGUAGUAUGACGUCUGGUUCCGAUGUCAGUUUGGUUCACCGUCAUCAUCGAUCAAGAAAAAGAAUACAUGUCUUUCUCCUCUGAUUUCUAGGUUGUAAGUUUAAUUGUGUGUUUUCUCCUCCGAUUUCUGGGUUUCUUUUUUUCUUUCUAUUUCUCGUCCAUUUAUUUUUUGUUUUGUUGGUUUUUUGAAGCAGGUCACCUAAUAGAAAUCACCCAUCAAAUGAAGAUGAUUGGUCAAACAAUAGAUUUUUAGAGAUUGACAAUUGAUUUUUUGGGGGCAUAAGAAAAGUAAGCUUGAAUCUUAAUCAAAUGAGGAUACUUCCAAGAGGUGUUGUGAUUUUUUUAACAAUUUAUAUGCUGAGCUUUUUGUUUCAAGGCUACUACAAAGAUACGUUUUUAGUUCCAUUGAAUCUCAAAUAAGGGUGUUGGGUGAUUUCCGUCUUCUAUCCACUGAAUUACAAAAGAUAUGAGAAAUGAUGGGAUUAACUUACUUCAUGUUGAAUCAAUCAGAAAAGAUGUUGAAUAUUCCACAGAAACACCUUCAGUACUUAUUUAGUAUGCCUGGUAGAUCUUUACAUCAGGGAAGGAAAUGCCUCAUGGUGGAUUGAAAUGUUAAAAUCAAGUGGUCAAUAUAAAGAGGUGCUGAUGUAUACUUUCGUAUCUCUGAUGAGGUAAUAAUCAUGUUAAGAAACUUUUUUUUUAGCCAAAUGAAUUAUGUUAAGAAAGUAUGGAUUUCACUUCGUUCUUUCUGGUGAUCUGUACAAGAAAUGGGAUCAGGUAUUGCAAUUUUUGUUACCUUAUCAUAUAUCUUAAUACUUUAAUAGAAGAUAAUUUUGUUUUCCAAUUAGUACUUAAUAGAUAAUUUCUAUUAUCGAAUAUAUGAAAAUAACCAUACAUUUCAAAUUAUUUAAAAUGAGGUUUUUGACAGGUCAUUCUAUGAGGGUGAUGAUAAUCCAAAUGUAUGCAUUGUGCAUGAUAUAUUGAUGAUUUGCUCAUUCUACAACUUUGAUCUUGGUUAUUGUCAGGGCUUGAGUGAUCACUCUCCAAUAUUCAUUAUCCAUCAUGAAAGAUGAAUCACAAGUUUUCUGGUGUUUUGUUUUUUUUUCUUUUUUUAUGGGAAGAUUAGGUCCGAAUAUUAACCGUGAUCAAGGGUUUUUUGGUCAUUUAAUUUGAAAUUUGAAGGAAUUUGACAGGGUUGAAUUGUGUCUGGAUUUUCAACCAAAUGCACCAUUGAAUGGAAUCCACAAUUCCAAUUCUUGGCUGCAAAUCAAUUACCAAAAAUAGUAUUUCAAGAAAAUCCAACAGAACUGAAUUCCGUCCCAAUUGUCAACCAAACACGUCAUGAAAUGGAAUAUCGAAUUCCAAUUCUGUCGGAACCCGCGAUUCCAUUUGUUAGCUGCAGUUUCUAACAUGUAUAUUAUUACUGUUUUGAUAUGGCAGCUCAUGUCACAACUACUUCAAACAAAACAACUGCUUCUGUUUACUGGAUUCUGAUAUAAUUCAAAAAGGCAAGAAAUGAUGGGAUUAACACACUUCAUGUUGAUCCAAUCAAAUAAAGAUGUUGAAUAUUGCAUGGAAAACACCUUCAGCAGUUAUUUAUGAAUUGGGACAUCAGGGAAGGGAAAUGCCACAUGGUGUGUUCUUUGGUGGGUUGAAAUGUUAAAAACAAGAGGAUGCUGUAUCUCUGAUGGGGAACCUGUUCAUUCACAUCUUAUUGUUGUGGUCAUUAUGUUAAGGAAGUAUCGAUCAAGGUACAUUAUUGAAUCUCAAAAAAGGGUGUUGGGUGAUUAUGCCUUCAUGUUAUGAAAUUAUGAACUUGCUUUAUCAAAUUGCCACUGAUUACAACCUGACAAAGCAUGGAAACAAUAUGAAUUGAUGUGCUUUUUUAUCAAAAAAAAAAUGUUGAAUAUUGCAUGAAAACGCCAUCAGAACUUAUUUGGUACACCUGUUAAACAACAUGUUCUUAUUGCUACAGUUUAUCCUUCUCAGAAGGACCAUGAAGCCUUUGAUCAUCCUGUUACAUGGUUUGAGUGAUCUCUCUUCAAUAUCAUUAUUCAUCAUGAAAGAGGAAUCACAAGUUUUCUAGUGUUUUUUUUUUUUUUUUUUUUUUUUUUAAGGAAAGAUUAGGUCCAAAUUUCAACCGUGAUGGAGGGUAUUUUGGUCAUUUAAUAAAAAAAAGAGUAAUGAAAUUGAAACCACCUGCCCUCAUGAAUGGUUGAAAAGGAAUUUGACAGGGUUAAUUUUCAACCAAUUCUUGGCUGUGAAGCGAUUACUAAAAAUGGAAUUUCAAGAAAAUCGACCAGAACUAAAUUCCGUCCCAAUCAUCAACCAAACAUGUCAUGAAAUGGAAUCUCGAAUUCCAACUCUGUCGGAAUCCGCGAUUCCAUUUCUUAGCUGUGGUUUCGAACAUGUCUAUUAUUGUUUUGAUAUGGCUGCUCAUUGCACUACGACUUCAAACAAAACGAUGGAUCUUCUGUUUCCAGUGGAUUCUGAUACAAUUAAGUAAAUUUACUCUUCUACCCUCACAAACUACACUACACUACUAAUGUGACAAUUUAGAGAGUUUUUUGGGAAAAAGAUGGAUGAGAAGAAUCCUCAAUAUAUAUUAUACGUAAUACACAAGCUAGUUAUCAGCCUAAAUUACAUGUGCUUAUUUAUUAUCUUCACUUCAGGAAAUGAUGAGCCAUUUUUAUUAAAAAAAAAUGGUGAAUAAAGCAGUUAUUGCUAUCUGUGUAUCAGAAGGUGGAUUGAAGUUACCUAAUUUUCCCUUAUACAUACAUACAUACAUACAUGUUCAUAUCAGUUUAUCUUUCUUCUUUGUUAAACAUACUGAGAUUCUUCAGUUGCCAAAGCAGACAGAUUAAGGAGAAGCACAUCAAAAUGGUAAAUUCUUUUGGUAGCAAUUAACAAUUUUAAACAGUACAAAAUUCAAUUUUAAACAGAUCAAACACCCUCACUGGGUUUCUUUCUCUUUUUCUCCUCCAUUUAUCUUUUGUUUUGUUGGGUUUUUGAAUUAGAUCACCUACUCUGCACUUUAGGUGUCUGAUGAAAUUUCUUAAUUAAGUUAAAGAGUUGUUUUGCAGGUGAAAAUGUUGUUGGAUUGAAUUAUGUAGACAAAAGUAAAUAAUCACAAACCAAACCAAACCAAAUUAAAACUUUUUGAGCCAUUAAAGAUUCAAUUAGGGAAAGAUAAUUUGUUAUUUGUAAUUUUACUCAAUUAGAAACAGAAGUGUGUCUUGAAUCUUAAUCAAACGAAGAGGUGUUGUGAUUUCUUUGUGGGCCUGUUUGUGUCAUCGCCUCUCUUCUUAUUUCUGAGAUUCCAAGAAUAAAGAACACAAAGUCUUUGUUACGUUAGAAUGUUUUUUUUUUUUUUUUUUUUUUUUUUUUUUUUUUUUUUGUAUUUGUAAUGUUCUCUGUUUCUAAAUCUCAUUGUGUUAUUCAUGUUGCAGGAGUUGUAUUUAUCAAAAGAUUUAGAUGUUUCUGAGAAAUGUUUUUAUUUAUUUAUUUUCAAGUAGGUGACAAAUGAGUGGUUAAAACAGGUUAUUACUGAUGCAUAGAGCCAUUGCGUAUAGAAACUAUACCCAUCGGUAUGUUUUUCAGCUAAUUAUACACCUAGUGAAAGUUGCACACAGUUGUAAGAGUUAAAAUUUUUAUCAUUUUAAAGCCAUUCAUUUAUUUCCCCUUGCAGCUUCUCAUAAGAUACAAUUUGGUUUUGUAUCUUAUUUUAUAGUGUGUCUUACAAGUUCAAUUGUAUACUAUAUAUGUGUGUGUGUGUGUGUGAAGUUCAUAAUUGCAUGUGAUACAGAGCAAGUGAAUCACUCUUCUGCACAAGCCAUAUUUUGUGUGCCACAGACAUUACAUAUUAUAAGUUUCCCCAGUUGAUAUUUAUAAAUGGUUAAAGUUGCUGAUGACUUUGACAUUGAGCUUUUUGUCAGAGAUUCCUUCUGAUACUGGUAUUAUGGUUAAUCAUUUUCUUAUCAAUUGCACUGAUAAGAAGAUUCUUUAUUGAAAUCAUAUGGUUAAUCAUUUUCUUAUUAGGACAUUCUGCUUUGAAAAUUCUACCCAAUUAUAUAUAGCACUGUACUUCCAUUUAUUUCUUAUUGCAACAUAACAUACUUUGAAAAAUCUGCCCAUUUAUAGAUAGCAUCACACUUUCAAUUUGUGUUCCAAGGCUACUACAAAUUUACACUUUUAGUUCCAUUGAAUCUCAAAUAUUAUAAGGGAGUUGGUUAUUGAUUCCAGCCUUCUUCUAUCCACUGGUUACAAAAGAUUAUAUGAGCCUACGACCCUGUUUGUGUAAUUCCAGAAAUACCCCUCUGUUCCUAAAACUUGUGCUUAUUUAUAUCAUCUUCAGGAAAUGAUGGGAUUAACAUACUUGAUGUCGAAUCAAUCAAAAAAAGAUGUGCUUUUAUUCAGUGAAUUGGGACAUUAGGGAAGGAAAUGUUAAAAACAAGUGGUCAAUAUAAAGAGAGGGUGUUUGUGUGUACUUUCUUAUCUCUGAUGAGGACCUCUUCAUUCAGCUGUGGUGCUUGAACAGACAUCUUAUUGCUGUUACCUUUUUUUUUAGCCAAACGAAUUAUGUUAAGAAAGUAAGGAUUUCAUCUCAUUCUUUCUGGUGGUGAUCUGUACAAGAAACGGGAUCAGUGGUCAAGCUUUUUGGAUUAUGAAGGCUGAGUCAUGGAUCCAGACGCUUUAAAACAGAGAAUAUUCUAUAGGGGCAAAAAGAGGUUUAUGCAUUCUUAGUGGGAUCUUAUUCAUACCAUUCAACAGUAUGUUGUCUCAGUUAAAAACAUUAGAGUACAUGACUAUCAAAAACCAAUUGCAGGUAAAUGACUAUUGUGCCCUCCAAGUUCUAUCACCCAAAUAUUAUAUUUAUUGCGAUUUAUAAAAAGGUUUACAGAAAUUAGAGAAAGGAAGGGUUUGAUUGAGAAAGAUGUGGUAUGAAAAUAACCAUACAGUUCAGAUGUGGUUUUUUUUUUUUUUUUUUUUUUAUUUAAGUAUUUUAUUUUUGUUUUUAAGGUAAUGAUAUAUUGUUGACUUACUCAUUCUACAACUUUGAUCUUGGUUAUUGACAGGUAACAUGCCACUAUUAUUAUUUAUAGAGUAAAUUACAAUUUCGUCCUUGUGAUAUUUCAAAACUUAUGGUUUUCAUCUAAGAUAUUUCAUUUGCUGUACAAUUGGUCAGUAAAGUAUAGUUUUGUUGAAAGUUUUCUCCAUGGUGGAACUGUUGGUGUUGCAAAAUGUUUGUGAAAUCCAAGUGAAAUAUGACUAUUUUGUCCCUCUCUUUUUUUAUCCUUCAUCCUGUAAACCUAAAAUUCCUCAACUUUAAUCUUAAACUCUAAUCAAACCAAUACCCAACAAUUAAGCUAAAACUAAAACAAAAUUAAGAUCCAAGGUACCAACAAAUUUAUUUAAAAAAACCAUGAACAGUAAACUAAAAAGAUUAAAGAUUGUUAGGUUAGAAUUAUUUUUAUUUUAUACUUUUGGAUCUUGAUUCUUCUUUAAUUUUUGGGUGUUGAUUGAAUUUGGUUUGAUUUUUAUGAUUUAAGAUGAAGGAGAUUUAGAAGAUGAAGAUAAGGGCAAAAAAAGUCAUUUUACUUUAUCUAAUUAGUCAUUUUACUUUGUGUUAUUUAUUUAUUUAUUUAUUAUACACACAAUAUUUUGCUAAUAAUUGAAAUAAAGAAUUUUUAUCUCACAAAACAUGAGUGAUCUCUCUCUCUCUCUCUCUCUCUCCAUUAUUAUUCAUCUUGAAAAAUGAUUCAUAAGCUUUCAGGUGUUUUAUUGGAAUGAUUUGGUCCAAAUUUCAACCAUGAUCAAAAAGGCAUGCACUCUCAACUCUUUCUUUGCGCUAUAAAAUGUCCUCCCUCUAUCUCAAUAUAUAACAAGGGUAUUUUGGUCUUUUAAUAAAGAGGGAGGAAUGAAUCAAAACUGGCAUUCUUUCUGCCUGCCCCUAUAAAUAAAUGGUUCAAGCCCAUCAAAUAUGAAAUACCAAGGAAUUUCACAAAGUUGCAUUCCGUCCGAAUUUUCAACCAAAGGCACCAUUCAAUGGAAUCUCGAAUUCCAAUCCCACCGGUAUCCACAAUUCCAGUUCCUAGCUGUGAUUAUCAAACAUGGAAUUUCAAGAAAUCCAACAUAAGUGUGUUCCAUCCAAAUUGUCAACCAAACACGUCAAGAAAUGGAAUCUCGAAUUCCAACUCUGCCAGAAUCCGCAAUUCCGUUUCUUAGCUGUGGUUUCUAACAUGUCUAUUAUUGUUUUGAUAGGGCAGCUGGUGGAACUACUCAACAGCCCAUUACACAACUGCUUUCUGUUUCUGUUGGAUUCUGAUCCAACUCAAAAGGCAAGUAAAUUUACUCUUCUACCCUCGCUAAUUAAAAAGUAUCACAUGGUUUCAGGGUAUUUGAAUACGAUAAAACAUUAAGGUUAUGGGAGGUGUUACGGACAAGGUAAUAAACCAAACUGUACUUUGCUGAUUACUAAAUAUACAUGUAAAAUGUCUAAUAAGGUAACAAUAAUAAAAAAAUCCUUUCCAUAUUGGCCUCAUAAGUUUGUAUGUUGCAACUGAAUGCUAUUUAGAUGCAAAGGUAUAUAACCUUCUAUUAAAACAUUAUACUUUCAUAAUCAAAUCUAUUAAGACACUGUAAUUUUAUUAUUUUUCCUAGUCACUCUACUUCCACAAACUAAACAUGUUUGUUUUUGGUUACUAGUUAUAGCAUUAUAGCUUUAAUUUUUUUUUUUUUUUUAUCAAGACUUUAUUUUGAAAAUCUGAACUUGCUUGAUUUUGGUAAACAUAUAUAGCAUUUUAUAUUCAAAAUCUAACAUAAUUAAAUGUUGUAAUUUGUAUUUCCUUUUCUUAUUAAGACAACAAACUUUGCAAAUUUUUUACCUUUGAACUUUUUCUUAUUAAAACUUUACACUUGGAAAAUCUAAUAUUAUUAGACAUUAUACUUUUUUUCCUACAUAGAUAAUGUACUUUGGAAAUCUAGACAACUACAACAUAGUACUUUUAAUCUGGCCUAUUAAGAUAUUUUCUUCUAUUUUUUUUUCCUAUUAAGAAAAUGUUUUUUAAAAUCUAACCUAUAUAUAUAUAUAUAUAUAUAUAUAUAUAUAUAUAUACACACACACACGAAAACACAAAUGAUUUGUGAAAAGGAAAACAACCAUUAAGGAUGAGACACAUGUAUAUUUGAAAUAAAAAUAAAUGUUGUAUUAAGUUAAUUUAAAAAUAUACUCGGAAGGGUAAAUUUGGAAUUUGCAUUAACCGCAUUAAAACUUUAUACUGACUUUUAUACUUAGAAAAUCUAACAUAUUUAGACAUUUUACUUUUAUUUUUUCCCUACUUAGACACUAUACUUGAAAAUUUUAGACAAUUAUAACAUUGUACUUUGAAAGUCUAGACAAUUGUAAAAUAUAACCUAUAAAGAUUUUUUUUUCUUAUAAUCUUUUACUAUUAAGCCAUUGUACUUUGAAAAUCUAAGCAUCUAUGAUUUAUGUUCCCAUCACUAACAUUAUACUUUCAAUUUUCUUUCAUAUUUCAGUAUAUCUUUUUUCAUAUUAAGACAAUGUGCUUUAUCUUAAAUAUUACUAUUUAAAUUAUAGUGUUAUACUGCUAAUAUCUAACAUAUUAAGACUCAUUUAAUAUUUUCCUGAUGAAGACAUUGCACUUUAAAAAUCUCACCUAUUAAGACUUUGUAACUUUAAAAACUUCUACCAUUCAACCUUUUUCUUAUUAAAGCAAUAAACUUUGAAAAUCUAAUAUUAUUAGGACAACAUUUUAUUUUUGAAAUAUAACAUAUUUAAAUGUUAUCUUUUAACUUUUUUUUUUCUUAUUAGGAUAAUACAUUUUGAAAACAUUGUACCUUUCAAGUUUUUUCUUGUUAAGACUAACCUCUUUGAAAAUCUAAGAUAUACUUUUAUGAACAGGUUUGCCACAUGAAUAAGGAAAGUCAAAGAUGGAGUUCUAAUGUUUGUCCAACAGUGAUAAGGAAAAUGAAUCGCUUUGGAAAGAAUAUGAGGGUCGCUGGAGCUAGCGCUGAAACUGUCAACUGGGGGCAAUUGGCCUUCUUGUGGCCCCUCUGGUUGCAGUGGAAACACGGCAACUCAGACGUCUGGAUAACUGCUGCCGGAGCAGUGCAAUCCCUGCUAUAGUGUCCAGGCUUGCCGCACUUGUAGCAGCCUGAUGAUCCCAACCUGCAUGCCCCCUCGUGCGUCUUGCCGCAUUUCCUGCAGCGUCCCCGUCCCUGUUGCCGCAUUUCCUGACUGACCCUCUCCUGCCUUCCGUUUCCGGAUGUGCUCCAAGUCUAUCUCCCUCUCCCUUGCCCUGGCAAUCAUAGAGUCCAAGGUGAGGCAAGCUGAAAAACUAAGGGUCCUCCUCAUCGCCUGCAUACUGGGGCACCAGCAGUGCCCUCUCCCGGAACUUGGCGGUGAUCUCCGCCACAUUCUCCGUCGUCUGUCUCAUGUCCAAAAACUCCCUGGCCAGCUGCUGAAGCUCGACAGCCGGCGCAAACUCCGCCCUGAACCUGGUCACAAAAUCCGACCAGGUCAUAGUCUCGAUAGCUGAGGCUCCCAACGAGUCACCCACUGACUCCCAACAAUCUCAAGCUCGGUCCCGUAAACAUCCUGCUGCAUACCUCACCUUCGACCCGAGGGGCAGAAGCUAGUCAACUGUGCAGACUCGAUGUCUGCAAUCCAUUGCCUAGCAGCAAUGGGGUCUUUCACCCCAUGGAAAUCUGGUGCACCACUGCCCCUGAAGUCCUUAAAGGACAGCGUGCGAGGCCCCGACUGGCCAGAUGCCAUGUCGCUCCUGAACGCCCUAAAGUGAUCCUCCAUCAACUCGAUGAUCCUCUCCUUGAUCGACCCAAAGAUGAUGGGGGUCGACUCAAUGAUGCCUCUGGUAAUCUCUCUGACGCGAUGAACUCGCGUAGUCCCUCAUCGACUGGCUCGGAACCUGAUCCCGAACCUGACCCCUCUCAUAAACCGCCAUCUAUCGGCCUCGAACGUAGUACCACCAUUCUGUAAUACAGGAAUAAUAAUUGUUAGUGAUACUAAUACUUCUUGAGGGAUCACAUCUACCACAAGUUCCCUGGUCUCAUCUUGGCCUCCCUUGGCUCGGGUACGGAUCCUCUGCUUUCAGUAGUACGGGCCCAUACUACCUUCAACAUCUAUCCGUACCUUCUCCAAGAACUGCCUCGACUCCACCAGAUCCUUUCCACUACGGCUGAUCACUACUAUACUCAUCCUAGGCUUGCCCUAGGGAAAUCUCAGGCUCCACCCUACCAGGUCCUCAGCUGCUGAAGGCCUCUUAGUAGUGCCAAUUGACCAUUACCUGAAUACCAUCACAUGUGGUUAGACUCGGAUAAUCCUUCGAGUAACAGGCUCAUCCCUACAACGGUUAGACUCAAACGAGAGCUGUGUAAUAGGGCCAAAUCCAACACUCUAAGAUUAUUCAACCCUGAUCACAUGUGACGUGACGUAUUCACCUAAUGGCUAACUCCCACCACUCAGAGUCCCACAAAGCACAAAGCAACCAUCAUUCGAGCUAAGGGAACAAUUUCAAGCAAAUCCGCUCUCAUAGAGAAGAACUAAUCUAGCAUACAGAGCUAAACUCAUAGUAUCAGGCAUAACCUAACAGGCUAUCCUAUUGCUGUCUACUCGACUCUAGCAUGCAAUUUUUUUUUUAUACAGCUGAAACACAUAAAGCAGGCACAUAAGGCAUCGUUCCUAGAUCCUUAGUCAUAUUCUAGCAUGCUGUUCUACAAAAGCUGAUAAACAUAACAUAAACUUGUAUGGGUACUUUGGGGAAUACUUACUUGAGCUCGGCCGGUCGCGCACAUCACACACUUCGUUCUUUCUCAAAACUAUUUUCUCAUUUUUUUUCAAAACAUUUUCCUUUAGAAAAUCUUUCAAUCCCUCGAUCUGAGUUCAGACACCCCCGAAGGUGUGUCCUAAUCCCUCAAACCAAGGCUCUGAUACCAACUUGUAACGACCUAAUUUUCACGUCCAAAAAUUUUGUUUAUAAAUCAUUACUUGGAAAUCAUUAAUAAUUAAAACAUUGUAUAAUUAAACCAUUUUACAUUGAAAACCAAAUUGAAAUCCACAACAUUUAAACAACCAAAAUAUCAGAGUAUCAAUCCCAGAAUAAACUCAUAACUGCGGAAACAAAAGUGUGUGAUAUGCUGCUACCGAGCCUGCUCCUUCCCCUUGGCUAAAGAGGUACCUGAAACAACAACUGAAAAACGUAAGCACAAAGCUUAGUGAGUUCCCCCACUGUACCACAUACCAUAAUAAUCACAUAACAUACAUCUAUCGUCAGGCAUAUCUUGGUGCUCGACCUACCCCUUCGGUCCUUUGGACCGGAUGUUGCCUAGCAUACCUGGGUGCUGGCCUCCCCUUCGGUCCUCUCGACCGGAUACUGGAGACUACUUCUCCCCUCUACUACUACCACAUAACAUGUACCACAGUAUCAGAAUCUAUCUAGCAUGGCUGGGUAUAACUACCCCUUCGGCCCUAUUGACCGGAUGUCUUGGGACUAUCUCCCCUACUACCACUAACACAUAGCAUCACAUCAUACUAGCACAUAAGAAUGGAACAGGUAGUAGUAACCCUAGAUGAAUAUCACGGAGACAAUCAUCCACAUACAACUCCUACUGGUGGGCCGGCAUUGUGGCCGUAGACCCACCGCUACUGGAAGGUAACUCACCCCGAAGUAGUUGCUGGUCUGGUCGGGAACUGACUGCCUACUGCUGCUGCUGCUCCGGAAAUCCUCCGGCUGCAACUCCCACAACAUACUCAAUCAAUCACUGCUAACUUUCCUUUGGGUAAAAUGACCAUUUUACCCCUGAUCAUGUCAUAAGUCAAAGUCAAAGUCAACUUUUAGUUGACCCGACUCGCCGAGUUGGCUCUCCAACUCGCCGAGUCCCUAUCCAAUCGAUUGCCCUGGAUCUCGUCCCUACUCGUCGAGUUAGACGUUGACUCGACGAGUUCUCCUUCUAAAUUGAGGUUCAAGUCCUUCAUCCUACUCGCCGAGUUGUAUGAACAACUCGCCGAGUUCAUCUUCAUCCGAAGAACACAUAUGCUGCGACUCGCCGAGUUGUAUGAACAACUCGCCGAGUUUGUUCUUGAUCUAAGGAGAUUGCCUUGAACUCGCCGAGUCAGGGCAUUGACUCGUCGAGUUCCUCCAUGGAUGAGUUUGGCUUCCAACUCACUGAGUCACACCCCGUGACUCACUACUCCCACUCAAACAACGAAAAGGGGACAAACUCGGAGACUCGCAAGCAGACUCGCCGAGUCAGAUGAACGACUCGCCGAGUUGUUACCAUGCAAUCACUAUAUGCUGGAUUCUGCUUGAAUCCAGCUUAUACUAUCCACAGAACUGGGUUCCUAGAGCAUGAAUAACACGUAAAGUUUUAGGGUUCAAAAUGCACCAAAUGAGUAGAUCUAGGGUCUUUAUGUAAUAUGGGUCCGUAAAGGCAGUAGAUCUGAGCUCUUGGAGCUCAACCAUGCCUAGAUCUAGAGGCCAAUCAGCUUAUUACGAAUUAUAUUGCACAUGCAAGCUUGGGGAAGGGCUCAAGAAGGACUUUAAUGGAGUAACAAGCAUAGAAACAGAGGGAAAACGAGUUAUACCUCCAAGAAAUUACUGAGAGAACACAAAGAUGCUUGACUUCCUUCCCUUCCUCUUGAUCUACUCCUCCUCCUCAAAAUCUUCAAGAAAACACACAAAAGGCCUCAAACUCACAAGAACAAGGGGUUAGAACGUAUGGAGAGCUCCUGAGGGUGAAGGGGGCUGGCUUAGGGCGGAAAUGAGGGCUUAAAUAGGGUGCAAACCCCUGAAACUUAGGGUUUCAUCAAACAGCGGUGACUCGCCGAGUCCAGGAUAUGGACUCGCCGAGUCGCCAACUUAAACAUGUCCCGGGUCCCGUCUCUACUCGGCGAGUCGGACCUAUGACUCGCUGAGUCCAAGGCUAAAAAUGGAAAUUACUCAAAUAAGAUUUACGUACCAGGAACCAGGUGCUACAUAUAGAACAAACAGGUAAAAUUUAUAUUUAUUAAAUUAUAUUAUAGAAUUAGGGAUACAUUUUACAAUUAUUUUCAGGUACAAUAUGAUAUUUGUUCCUUUCACUGCAAUAAACAAUCAUGAAAAGACAAUCAAUGUUGGAGUAGGACUAAUAUCAGAUGAAACAAUUGAAUCAUACUCUUGGUUAUUAGAAGCUUUUUUGUCAUCACAUAAGAAGAAACCAACAAUGAUUCUGUCAGACAUAGAUGUAGCAUUAUCUUCUUCAAUAGGAAAGGUGUUUCAAGGAUGUACUCACAGAUUAUGUAUGUGGCACAUAAUGUCAAAAAUGCCAUCAAAGAUUGACGCUGAUUUAGUUUCAAAUUCAGAUUUCAAGAAACGCAUAAAUCAACUAGUUUGGAAUAUGAAUAUUGAACCAUCAGAAUUUGAGAACAAAUGGGAUUUGAUGUUGAAUGAAUUUCAUUUGAAGGAUAAUAAAUGGUUGGCUGAUAUGUUCAACAAGAGAGAAAAAUGGAUUCCCUCAUAUUUCAGAGAUAUACCAAUGUCUUUUUCCUUCAACAUCUUCUCUGCAACUCUUUUGAGCAUGUCUUUUGACAAAUGGACAAUUUCUAGAAUCAUGUUGAACCAACGUAUUGCAAAAUUUACACAACCUCAUUUGUGUGUUAUACAUCUUAUUUUGAUGAAAAAUAUACAUUAUAUUGAAAUAUAUAUUAUUAGUUAUAACUUACACAUAAAUAUAUAUGCCACUAAUCUUCCGAAAUAUAUGUUAAGACUAUUUCAAAUCAUCAACUACAUAUUCAGAAUCAUUUUACUUAAAAAUAUUAAAUCUAAUGCGAUUGAAAAAUAUAAUAUUAGUUAUAACUUACACAUGUAUAUAUAUGCAACUAAUCUUCCGAAAUAUAUAAUAUUUUAUUACCUAGUAAAAUCUUUCAUUUAUUACUUAAAUCUAUUCAGAAUUAACAAUUAUAAAAAAUAUAAAUAUUCAUAAAUGCAGAAGUCAAAUCGACUUAAUUACAAUAAAUACAAACAAUCCUUUCAUAUAAAAAGCUUUUCAUCUAAUAGUAACUUUAUAUUUUAUAUUUAAAAAAAUGAAAAAAAAAAUAAUUACUAAAAAUAUAAUGUAAAAACUAUAAAUAAUAACAAGAUUAUAAUCUCAUUAUAACAUACAAAAAAAAUAUUUAUUUUAUUUAUAUCAAAUUAAUAAAAGAAGGUAAUAUAUACCGAUUUGUUUGAUAAAAUGCAAAAAAAAAAUAAAUAAAUAAAUAAAAUUAAUUCAUAAGAAGAUAAGGAUUAUCAUCUUCAAUGUAUAGAUACCAUGAUUACCUAAAUCUACAACCGCCAUAAUAGACUAUAAUAUUUAUUGAAGCAAAUGAUGGCAGAAAAUUAAUUACCUACUCUACUAACUCCAAUUGUUACCGCUAUAUAUUCCUCCUCAACAUCACCAUAAACUUAAAGAAAAAAAAACUAUCCAUUGAUGGCUUCUGAAUCAUCGCUUUGGGUAGUUCGGAACUCCUCGGAUUAUCUUGAUCUUUACGACAUAUAUGGGUGGGAAAACAAAAAGUACUUCACAAUGAUGCUAAACCAUGGAGGUAGUUUCCACUACUACCCAAAUCGAGAUUACAUUGGAGGCAACAUUGACUAUAUAGACUUCAUCGAGGUUGAAACUUUCUCUGCAGAGGUAUUUCAUACCAUCUUAAGUUCUUUUGGUUAUGAUGUUGCGACAACAUAUGCAUACUCUUUAGUCUCGUUUGCUCCUUUAGACGUUGGUCUAAACAAGCUUGCUUAUUGGAAUGAUUUCUUGAACUUUGUCAAAAAAGUUAAAAUAGAUGGGUUUUUUUUUUUGUGUUCAACAAGUUUAUUUGGAGCAUAAUCAAACCACUGUUACAAACUUCUUCCCAAAAACAUUAAACUUUGCAACCAACAGUUAUAUGUGCACGAAACUCUAUUCAAUGGUUGCAUCAAAUCCAAAAAUUACUGUUUGGGAGGCUAGGAUCAUGCUUUUUGACGAAUUCAACUUUUGGAUAAAUGUUGACAAACUCAUUGAAGCUUUGGAUUACACAAAGUAUCAAGUGAAUCUUCUGGGUAAGUAGAUGAAGUUGCAAGGUGAAAAGGUGGGAAUUUGGGUUUUUGGGUUUUUAGAUUUAAGGAAAUGGUGUUAGUAUGAAUAUUUGGUCAUUUAUAUAAUAUGUUUAUGUGCUCUAACUUCUUUUGGGAUGAUUGUAAUGGGGAUUGUAAUAUAUUUAUAAAUAUUAUCGAU